UUUUUCGCCUAAGGAUGGGUCUGCGGCCGAUUAGGUAGUUGGUUAGGUAAUGGCUUACCAAGCCGUUGAUCGGUACGGGUUGUGAGAGCAAGAGCCCGGAGAUGGAACCUGAGACAAGGUUCCAGGCCCUACGGGGUGCAGCAGGCGCGAAACCUCCGCAAUGUGAGAAAUCGCGACGGGGGGAUCCCAAGUGCCAUUCUUAACGGGAUGGCUUUUCAUUAGUGUAAAGAGCUUUUGGAAUAAGAGCUGGGCAAGACCGGUGCCAGCCGCCGCGGUAACACCGGCAGCUCUAGUGGUAACAAUUUUUAUUGGGCCUAAAGCGUCCGUAGCCGGUUUAAUAAGUCUCUGGUGAAAUCCUGUAGCUUAACUGUGGGAAUUGCUGGAGAUACUAUUAGACUUGAGACCGGGAGAGGUUAGAGGUACUCCCAGGGUAGAGGUGAAAUUCUGUAAUCCUGGGAGGACCGCCUGUUGCGAAGGCGUCUAACUGGAACGGUUCUGACGGUGAGGGACGAAAGUUAGGGGCGCGAACCGGAUUAGAUACCCGGGUAGUCCUAACUGUAAACGAUGCGGACUUGGUGUUGGGGUGGCUUUGAGCUGCUUCAGUGCCGAAGGGAAGCUGUUAAGUCCGCCGCCUGGGAAGUACGG
rnacentral:rRNA from 1 species